UACGUAGGGUGCAAGCGUUAUCCGGAAUUAUUGGGCGUAAAGAGCUCGUAGGCGGUUUGUCGCGUCUGCUGUGAAAACUGGAGGCUCAACCUCCAGCCUGCAGUGGGUACGGGCAGACUAGAGUGCGGUAGGGGAGAUUGGAAUUCCUGGUGUAGCGGUGGAAUGCGCAGAUAUCAGGAGGAACACCGAUGGCGAAGGCAGAUCUCUGGGCCGUAACUGGACGCUGAGGAGCGAAAGCAUGGGGAGCGAACAGG
rnacentral:rRNA from 1 species